UUCGACUUGAAUCUGACGUGAUU
rnacentral:rRNA from 1 species